ACGAAGGGGGCAAGCGUUGUUCGGAAUCAUUGGGCGUAAAGCGCGUGUAGGCGGCCUAUUAAGUCGAGUGUGAAAUCCCUGGGCUCAACCGAGGAAGUGCAUUCGAAACUAAUAGGCUAGAAGAUGGUAGAGGAUGGUGGAAUUCCAGGUGUAGAGGUGAAAUUCGUAGAUAUCUGGAGGAAUACCGGUGGCGAAGGCGGCCAUCUGGGCCAUUCUUGACGCUGAGACGCGAAAGCGUGGGUAGCAAACAGGA
rnacentral:rRNA from 1 species